rnacentral:rRNA from 1 species
UGCCCCUACGGAGGCAGCAGUAGGGAAUCUUCCACAAUGGGCGAAAGCCUGAUGGAGCAACGCCGCGUGGGUGAAGAAGGUCUUCGGAUCGUAAAACCCUGUUGUUAGAGAAGAAAGUGCGUGAGAGUAACUGUUCACAUUUCGACGGUAUCUAACCAGAAAGCCACGGCUAACUACGUGCCAGCAGCCGCGGUAAUACGUAGGUGGCAAGCGUUAUCCGGAUUUAUUGGGCGUAAAGGGAACGCAGGUGGUCUUUUAAGUCUGAUGUGAAAGCCUUCGGCUUAACCGGAGUAGUGCAUUGGAAA